GUGUUUAUUUAGCACACAUUUAUCAAGAUGAGUGUGAUACGACUUUUGCCCUUGAGGAACUUACAGUAAAAACAAGCUCAUAAACAAAUGAUCACGGUUCAGAAACAACAGCUAAAAUUUACUACAAACUAGUCAUCUGCAGGGGCUUUGCCUGCCAAUGAUCUCAUCCGGUUUCACAGGAAUGACUGAAAGUGGAUUUGACUUUUGUAUCCAUUCUACAGAUGUGGAAACGGAGAGAAAGAGAGAUGAAGUGACCCAGCUGGCAGCGGCGGAGCAGGAUUCAGAACCCAGGCACUGGAGCUUUGAAGCCGGGUUCUAGUAGCAAAGUAUACACAGGCCCAGGAGAGAACAGGAGAUAUGGCUCACAUGUCAGCCAGGAACCCUUCCUUUGCUUGUUGAGAAGUAACACAAUGAAGAUUCAAGGUGCUUUGUGUAGGAUUUGGCCUUCUCACGUUUUCCUUGAACUUUCUGCCAAGUGUUUCCUCAGAAUGUGGCAUCACAGAUGGGAGUUGCCUGGAAAAAGAUCCUUUACCUUUUAAGGCUAUUUAUCUUCUAAGACACUAAAAUAAUAAUUUGUGAUAACUUUAAUAGAGUUUAAAUGAAUGAAUAGAUUUAGCAUUUAUGUUAUUCGGAGCUUAUAAUUUCAGCUGUAAAGUGGGAUUUUUAUGGUUUUGUGGACUUAGGCAAAAGUAGAUGUGCAUCCAAGCUAAUAUAGAUUUCAGCUUUUAUGUAUUAAAAAUGGAAAAUUUAUAACAUAUUCAUCAAUUUGGGAAAUUAAAACGGUAUCUUUAUCUUUACAAAAAUUGAAAACCAGUCAUUAUAUCUUGUAAUAGAGA